UACGGAGGGGGCUAGCGUUGUUCGGAAUUACUGGGCGUAAAGCGCACGUAGGCGGCUUUGUAAGUUAGAGGUGAAAGCCCAGAGCUCAACUCUGGAAUUGCCUUUGAGACUGUGAGGCUUGAGUACGGGAGAGGUGAGUGGAAUUCCCAGUGUAGAGGUGAAAUUCGUAGAUAUUGGGAAGAACACCGGUGGCGAAGGCGGCUCACUGGCCCGAAACUGACGCUCAUGCACGACAGCGUGGGGAUCAAACAGG
rnacentral:rRNA from 1 species